UCUCCCGUGAGGGAGCAGUCUCGCCUGGUCAUAUAGACAACAGACAACGGGGGUUGCGUUCGUUACCCCACUGAAGGGAACAGUUCAAACCACGAACUGACGACGACCAUGCAUCACCUGUCCAGCACCCUCGAAGGCUCCCUGCCUUUCGGCUGGGAUGCAGCUGGAUUUCUAACCUUGGUAAGGUUCUUCGUUUGCCGACGAAUUAAGCCACAUAAUCCACCGCUUGUGCGAGUCCCCGUCUAUUCCUUUGAGUUUUAAUCUUGCGAUCGUACUACCCAGGCGGCUCGCUUACCGCGUUAGCUUAGCCUCACAGAGGGUCGAUACUCCGUAAAGCGAGCGAGCAACGUUGAGGGCCAGGACUAC
rnacentral:misc_RNA from 1 species